GAUGAAGAACGUAGCUAAAUGCGAUAAGUAGUGUGAAUUGCAGAAUUCAGUGAAUCAUCGAAUCUUUGAACGCACAUUGCGCCCUUUGGUAUUCCUUAGGGCAUGCCUGUUCGAGCGUCAUUUAAACCUUCAAGCUCAGCUUGGUGUUGGGUGACUGUCCGCUUCACCGCGGACUCGCCUCAAAAUUAUUGGCGGCCGGUACAUUGGCUUCGAGCGCAGCAGAAACGCGAACUCGGGCCCGUCGUAUUGGCUCCCAGAAGCUAUCUUCACAAUUUUGACCUCGGAUCAGGUAGGGAUACCCGCUGAACUUAAGCAUAUCAAUAAGCGGAGGA
rnacentral:misc_RNA from 1 species